UUACCACAAGUCAUCGAAACCCUUUGAUGUAUGUUGGGCCCUCUUGCUCAUAGACCUCUGUCCUAUCAUCACUUUCCCCAGCCAUGAAUCUUAUGCCCAUAUGAUUUCUCAGUGGAGAAGAAGUCUUGUCUAACGGGAGGCACAGAGGGAAGGCUUCCUGGAACAUUGGAAGAAAACCAGGAAAGUGACCCAAAUGAAAGGUUUUAUUUGACCAUGACAUCAUGAACAAAAGAAAAACUCGGCACUGGUGCAUUUCAGUCCGGAGCUAACAAGAGACCCACAGCGCACCUCUGUCUCCGGGGACCCGGAACACUGUGGGUAAUUAGAAAUCCCAAAGAUGAGGGCAGACGGUUUCUCCCGCUCGCUCACCACACAUGGGCACACGUGUGUGCACACACACACAAGUACCUACACACGCACAGACACCAGAAGCUCAUCCCGCGGUUUCUAAAGAGGUGCCAUCCACAAAUCUGGAAAUCGGGCUGCUGGAGCGAGAGGUGCAGAGAGGAACCAGAGUCAUUCCGCUCACGCCCUGCCAUUGCCCUGUUACUGCUGCUUAGGCCGCCAACGAACUGAGGGGACCCACAGUCCCUCUUCUCCUGGGCGCAGCAAGCAUUCAAGGCAAACCAGGAAGGCGAGGCAACUGGAAACCACUCCAGAACAAAAAUGACUGGAGGAAUUAGAGAUGUUACAAAUUCAGGAAGGCUUUCGCGGGCACGGGGCGAGG